GUGCUUGCUUUGGAAGCACAUAUACUAAAAUUGGAACGAUACAGAGAAGAUUAGCAUGGCCCCUAAAAAAAAAAGAAAAAAAAGUUUUAUAGAAAUAGAUUCAUAUA